GAUGAACGCUGGCGGCGUGCCUAAUACAUGCAAGUCGAGCGAACAGACGAGGAGCUUGCUCCUCUGACGUUAGCGGCGGACGGGUGAGUAACACGUGGAUAACCUACCUAUAAGACUGGGAUAACUUCGGGAAACCGGAGCUAAUACCGGAUAAUAUAUUGAACCGCAUGGUUCAAUAGUGAAAGACGGUUUUGCUGUCACUUAUAGAUGGUUCCGGGCCGCAUUAGCUAGUUGGUAAGGUAACGGCUUACCAAGGCAACGAUGCGUAGCCGACCUGAGAGGGGGAUCGGCCACACUGGAACUGAGACACGGUCCAGGGUCCGACGGGAGGCAGCAGUAGGGAAGCUUCCGCAAAGGGCGAAAGCCUGACGGAGGAACGCCGCGUGGGCGAUGAAGGUCUGCGGAUGGGAAAACGCUGUUAUUAGGGAAAAACAAAUGUGUAAGUAACGAUGCACGUGUGGACGGUACCGAAACAGAAGGCCACGGCUAACUACGU
rnacentral:rRNA from 1 species